CAAACUAUCAACCUAAUCCUAGAAGUAAUUGCGCUAAAAUCGAACUCAAUCGUAUCGUAUAAAGCGUGAUACAAAAACGUCCUUGAAAUGUGUAACUAUUUAGAGAUAGGGUUUUCAGGGGACGAUAAGAUGAAAAGUAGGGUAUAUAUUCCAAUAAAACUGACAAAUGCCAGCCUUACUAAAACUUUCUUGAUUCCUUACAGGUUUGUGGGUGCUUCGGAUGAAAUCUACACUAAUGGAAAGGAAUAUCUCACGCAGACCAUGACCGAAGCGAUGACUGGUGGACACUAGCCGGAGUCUGGGACAGGUGACUAGGAUCACAAACAACCCCCUCGGUCGGACCUAGGCCUUUACCACGCCCGAAAGGACGGCCUCUUCUAGGUACUAAUUUGGAACAAGGAUCCCUAUGGAGACUUCCUACCUGCCUAGAAAGAGCUCUAUCUAUUGGGGAAGGGUAAAUACCAUGUAGUACGGUUGACGGUAUAAUCAAAGAUGAGUACCCUAGAAAAAAAAUGCCUGCCUUUUCAAAAAAAAAACUAAUUUCCUUUUUUUUCUUUUAUUUUUAGGUAAUAUGUACGUCCGUCCGUCCGAAGGUUUAGUUUUAAGUAUUAUGUUAAGGGUCUUUGUAAGCCGUCACCUGGAGCACUGCGGUCUGCGAGUGCUUUUGAAGGAAGUCCCACGCUGGUGCAGAGAUGAGCCGUUGGUGAGCAGCGUUUUUUUUUGUUUUACUUUUAAUUAGUUUAAGCUUUAGCGUAAUGAUUAAGUUGUUUUCUUUUUGAUUAAGUUUAUAAUUAAGUUUCUUUUUUUUUUAGUUGGAAUUUAUUUUUCAAUAAGUGGUUUUAAUUCAGUUUCUUUUUUUUUUUUCACUCUUUAGAGCUAGGUAUUAAGGUAGUUUCAAGGAUAGUUUUUAAGGUAAUUUUUAAGGUUGUUUGUUAAUUCAGUUUGUAAGAUGUUUCUUUUUUUUCUGUUUAGCUAUCAGAAGCUUUUGUUUUUUUUUUCUCUUUUCUUUUUUUUUUGCAAUAAAGGAAUCGAAUGAU